rnacentral:rRNA from 1 species
AGAGCGAACGCUGGCGGCGUGCUUAACACAUGCAAGUCGAGUGCGCGGUUGUAGCAAUACAACUGGCGCACGGCGCACGGGUGAGUAACACGUGGGCAACCUGCCCUCCAAUGGGGGAUACCCCCGCGAAAGCGGGGCUAAUACCGCAUGACAUUCCGGAGACUUCGGUCACCGGACUUAAAGGCCGUAAGGUCGUUGGAGGAGGGGCCCGCGCCCGAUUAGCUAGUUGGUGAGGUAACGGCUCACCAAGGCUAUGAUCGGUAGCCGGUCUGAGAGGAUGGCCGGCCACACUGGAACUGAGACACGGUCCAGACUCCUACGGGAGGCAGCAGUGGGGAAUCUUGCGCAAUGGGCGAAAGCCUGACGCAGCGACGCCGCGUGGGGGAUGAAGCUUCUCGGAGUGUAACCCCUUUCGACCCGGACGAAACGCCCGUAAGGGCUUGACGGUACGGGUAUAAGAAGCCCGGCUAACUACGUGCCAGCAGCCGCGGUAA